GGCUUUGUAGCUCAGUUGGUUAGAGCGCUGCACCGGAAUCGCAGGACCGCAUGUUCGAUUUUUGCCCGGGGCCU
rnacentral:tRNA from 1 species